GACGAACGCUGGCGGCGUGCUUAACACAUGCAAGUCGAACGAUGAACCCGGAGCUUGCUCCGGUGGAUUAGUGGCGAACGGGUGAGUAACACGUGAGUAACCUGCCCUUGACUCUGGGAUAACUGCGGGAAACUGUAGCUAAUACCGGAUACGACCCUCGGAGGCAUCUCCUGGGGGUGGAAAGAAUUUCGGUCAAGGAUGGACUCGCGGCCUAUCAGCUAGUUGGUGGGGUAAAGGCUCACCAAGGCGACGACGGGUAGCCGGCCUGAGAGGAUGACCGGCCACACUGGGACUGAGACACGGCCCAGACUCCUACGGGAGGCAGCAGUGGGGAAUAUUGCACAAUGGGCGCAAGCCUGAUGCAGCAACGCCGCGUGAGGGAUGACGGCCUUCGGGUUGUAAACCUCUUUUAACAGGGAAGAGGCGAAAGUGACGGUACCUGCAGAAAAAGCACCGGCUAACUACGUGCCAGCCGCCGCCGUAA
rnacentral:rRNA from 1 species